rnacentral:rRNA from 1 species
CCAGACAGCCAGGAUGUUGGCUUAGAAGCAGCCAUCAUUUAAAGAAAGCGUAAUAGCUCACUGGUCGAGUCGGCCUGCGCGGAAGAUGUAACGGGGCUAAACCAUGCACCGAAGCUGCGGCAGCGACGCUGAUGCGUUGUUGGGUAGGGGAGCGUUCUGUAAGCCUGUGAAGGUGGGCUGUGAGGGUUGCUGGAGGUAUCAGAAGUGCGAAUGCUGACAUAAGUAACGAUAAAGCGGGUGAAAAGCCCGCUCGCCGGAAGAC